UGAAAAUUUCAAUUUGGUUUAUUAAUUAAGUAUAAGAUUUUAAGUAUAUAUAAUUUUUUGAGUCUUCAUUAAAUUUAAAUAAUUUAAUUUAUAAAUUUAUUUUAAAAUAAAUUUAUUUUUUAUAUGUAAUAUAUAAUAUUGUUAAUUUAAGAAAUUAAGAAACAGAAAUUUUUAUUUUAGUAUUGAUAAAUUUUUGUGCCAGCAAUAGCGGUUAUACAAAUUAUACAACUUAAUUUAUAUUAUUUUUAUAAUAAUUGUUAGUUAUAUUAUAUAAUAAGUAUUUUAAUUUAUAGAUAAAAUUUUAAUUAAGGUAAUUAUUAUAUUAAUUUAUUAAUUUAUAUUAAAAAAAUUUGAAUAAAAACUAGGAUUAGAUACCCUAUUAUUAAAUCUUAAAAAUUAUAAAAUAGUAAAGUAAUUUGAAACUUAAAAAUUAUGGCGGUACAUUGUCAGUAUAGAGGAAUUUGUCUCGUAAUUGAUAAUCCACGAUAGGAGAAACUUGAAUUAUUAACUCUUAUGUAUGUUCAUAUAAAAUUUUUGUCAAUAGAUUGAUAUUAGUAAAAUUUUUUAGUUAGAUUACAAUAUAAUUUUAUUUAUUUAAUAUUUAUUAUAUUAAAUAUUAAAUUUUUGUAAGUAGAAAAAAUGAAUUUAGAUCAAUAUGUAGAAAUAUUCAAGAGGAAGAUGAAUUACAUUUAUAUUUUUGGAUUAAUAAUUUUAAUAUUAUUAUGAAAUAGAAUUUAUUAGUAAAUUUAUUAAAUUAGAUAAAUUGAAUUUUUAUUCAAUGUGUGCACAAAUCGCCCGUCAAUUCUAUAAUUAAGUGUAGAGUAAGUCGUAACAAAGUAAAUGUACUGGAAAGUGUAUUUAGAAUAUA
rnacentral:ncRNA from 1 species